UACGUAGGGGGCAAGCGUUGUCCGGAAUUAUUGGGCGUAAAGAGCGUGUAGGCGGGCCGGUAAGUCAGCUGUGAAAGUCAAGGGCUCAACCCUUGAAUGCCGGUUGAUACUGUCGGGCUAGAGUCCGGAAGAGGCGAGUGGAAUUCCCGGUGUAGCGGUGAAAUGCGCAGAUAUCGGGAGGAACACCAAUGGCGAAGGCAGCUCGCUGGGACGGUACUGACGCUGAGGCGCGAAAGCGUGGGGAGCGAACAGG
rnacentral:rRNA from 1 species